rnacentral:pre_miRNA from 1 species
UUAACUCAAAAUUGUAUGGAGUUGGGUUGUUUGCCUACCUUUGCCACUAGGGGCGCUGUUCCAACUACAUACAAAUUUGAGUUA